rnacentral:sRNA from 1 species
CGUAACAGAUCUGGGGACAGAUAAAAUGAACGUGUGCAUCAAUGGCACCAGCUGUGAAGAUCUUUCCUUCACCUGCCAAUGCUUCUGUACCGGCACCAACGAUCAUACCUGGAGUGACACCGUCCAUGACAUCUGGGUUACCAGCCUUUCCGAUACCCGCGAUGAUACCGUUCUUGACACCAAUGUCGGCCUUGUAGAUCCCAUGCACAUCGAUAAUCAGACAAUUGGUGAUCACAAGAUCCAGUACAUCCGCAUCCGCCCGGUCGGUACUUUGACCCAUUCCCUCGCG